rnacentral:tRNA from 1 species
ACCUGGCUGGUUCAGUCGGUGGAGCGUGUGACUCCUGAUCUUGGGUUUGUGGGUUCAAGCCCCACAUUGGGUG